rnacentral:snRNA from 11 species
CUAUUUAUGUGGCAGGAGUUACCAUGAUGACAAAGCAAGGUGAGGCUUAACUGUUGCACUCUGGGUAUGCUGACUCCUGUGAUUUCCCUAAAUGUGGGCGAUGCUGACUGUAAUUUACAGUAGUGGGAGACUGUGUUUGCAUUCUACCCUG